rnacentral:rRNA from 1 species
UACGGGGGGGGCAAGCGUUGUUCGGAAUUACUGGGCGUAAAGGGCUUGUAGGUGGCCAACUAAGUCAGACGUGAAAUCCCUCGGCUUAACCGGGGAACUGCGUCUGAUACUGGAUGGCUUGAGUGUGGGAGAGGGAUGCGGAAUUCCAGGUGUAGCGGUGAAAUGCGUAGAUAUCAAGUGGAACACCAGUGGCGAAGGCGAGUCCCUGGACAACUCCUGACACUGAGGCACGAAAGCCAGGGGAGCAAACAGG